UACGAAGGGGGCAAGCGUUGUUCGGAAUUACUGGGCGUAAAGGGCGCGCAGGCGGUUCAGCAAGUCAGAUGUGAAAGCCCCGGGCUCAACCUGGGAAUAGCAUUUGGGACUGCUGGACUCGAGUUCGGGAGAGGAGAGUGGAAUUCCCAGUGUAGAGGUGAAAUUCGUAGAUAUUGGGAAGAACACCAGUGGCGAAGGCGGCUCUCUGGACCGAUACUGACGCUGAGGCGCGAAAGCGUGGGGAGCAAACAGG
rnacentral:rRNA from 1 species